rnacentral:rRNA from 1 species
ACAUGCAAGUCGAACGAAGUAGCAAUACUUAGUGGCAGACGGGUGAGUAACAUGUAGGUAUCUACCCUUUGGCCUGGAAUAACACGAGGAAACUUGUGCUAAUACCAGAUAAGUCUUUACGGAGAAAGCUUUAUGCACCAUUGGAUGAGCCUGCACUUGAUUAGUUUGUUGGUGGGGUAAUGGCCUACCAAGACUUUGAUCAAUAGCUGAUUUGAGAGGAUGAUCAGCCACAUUGGGACUGAGACACGGCCCAAACUCCUACGGGAGGCAGCAGUGGGGAAUCUUGCACAAUGGAGGAAACUCUGAUGCAGCGAUGCCGCGUGAGUGAAGAAGGCCCUUGGGUUGUAAAGCUCUUUCGUCGGGGAAGAAAAUGACUGUACCCGAAUAAGAAGGUCCGGC